CUGCCCAUUCAGAUUUUUUCGGUGGGAAAGCAGAGGGAGGAGCAUCAGAUGGUGUGGGAAGAGAAGCCUGGGGUGGCUCUGCUGGAAGAAGAGGAACCUGUGGGAUCCCAGGGCAGCUCUGACCCUAAACCCAGGUUUAAAUGAGUGAUAAGUGGGAGAAUCCAAGGUGAUUAUAGCAAUCCUUUGGCAUGCAGCUGGACUGAGAGAAGUUUCAUCCCAGCUGGAUCUGUGUCUCUGUGGGAAGGAGGUUCUGCUGGAGGACUCUCCCCGUGCCUGGAGAACCCCUGUGUGCCCUCCUGGGAGGUCUGUCCCUCAAACAAAGGAGGCAGAAGCAUCCAACGCAUGACACCCUCUCCGAAGGUCAGGCUCGAGGAGGCAUCUGCUGGAGGUUGGAAAAACUGAGCAGACGUGGGAAAACCUACAGGGAAGUGCUGGGCUGACCUCGGGAUGGAGGGCAGGGAGCUCAUGUGAGCCUUGGAGGCUUCAGGCUGGGAUUUGGAUGCA